rnacentral:misc_RNA from 1 species
CCAAAUCAACGGCCGAAAGGCCUUGCCCUAGGGGGGGAAACCCCCCGACGGUAAACCCUUUGUGAAAACCCUUCGUUUGCCUCGGCGGCACCUUUUAAUUAGGGGUCAGCCCGCCGACGGCACCAACCAAAACUCUUUUUGAAUUGAAGAAUCUAGUCUGAAUCAAUGGUCGAAUGACUAUA